CAGCCGCCGCGGUAAAACGAAGGGGGCUAGCGUUGUCCGGAAUUAUUGGGCGUAAAGGGCUCGCAGGCGGUUUCUUAAGUCUGAUGUGAAAGCCCCCGGCUCAACCGGGGAGGGUCAUUGGAAACUGGGAAACUUGAGUGCAGAAGAGGAGAGUGGAAUUCCACGUGUAGCGGUGAAAUGCGUAGAGAUGUGGAGGAACACCAGUGGCGAAGGCGACUCUCUGGUCUGUAACUGACGCUGAGGAGCGAAAGCGUGGGGAGCGAGCAGGAUUAGAUACCCCAGUAGUCCCUGUCUCUUAUAC
rnacentral:rRNA from 1 species